rnacentral:rRNA from 1 species
AGUGAACGCUGGCGGUAGGCCUAACACAUGCAAGUCGAACGGCAGCACAGUAAGAGCUUGCUCUUACGGGUGGCGAGUGGCGGACGGGUGAGGAAUACAUCGGAAUCUACUUUUUCGUGGGGGAUAACGUAGGGAAACUUACGCUAAUACCGCAUACGACCUACGGGUGAAAGCAGGGGAUCUUCGGACCUUGCGCGAUUGAAUGAGCCGAUGUCGGAUUAGCUAGUUGGCGGGGUAAAGGCCCACCAAGGCGACGAUCCGUAGCUGGUCUGAGAGGAUGAUCAGCCACACUGGAACUGAGAAACGGUCCAGACUCCUAAGGGAGGCAGCAGUGGGGAAUAUUCGACAAUGGGCGCAAGCCUGAUCCGGCCAUACCGCGUGGGUGAAGAAGGCCUUCGGGUUGUAAAGCCCUUUUGUUGGGAAAGAAAAGCAGCAGGUUAAUAACCCGCUGUUCUGACGGUACCCAAAGAAUAAGCACCGGCUAACUUCGUG